rnacentral:lncRNA from 1 species
UCAAGCUAUCCACUUGCCUCAGCCUCCCAAAUUGCUGAGAUUAGAAGAAUGAGCCACUGUGCCUGUGACUUACUUCUAACCCACAGAAUAGAGCAACAGUGAGAGGAUGUCAAUUCUGUGAUAGAUUGCAAAAUAUUGUAAGUUCCUAGCAGUCUUUCUCAUUGGUUUCAAUAAAAAAAAGCUGCUGUGCUGGAGGGACCCAUGAGGCAAAGAACUGAGAGCAGCCUUUAGCUAACAGCCGGCAAGGAAUGAGGUGCUUGGUCCAGCAAUCACAGAGAAACUGAAUCCUGCUGAUGAUCAUGAGGGUGAGCUUGGAAGCAGAUUCUGUCCCAGAUGAACUUUGAUUGUGUCUUGUUAGAAACCCUGGACCAACUCCUUGAUUGCACCUGUGAGAGGCCCUGAAGCGGAGGGCCCAGCUAAGGUGUGUCUGGAUUUCUGACCCACAGAAACUGAGAUCAUAAAUGUGUGGUUUUAAGCCCUACUCCAGCACUUUCACAGUCAUUUACGGCAUCUGCAGAGCAGUGAAAAAUUUGAAUUGCCUGAGAUACAUGCUCCCUGCUGAAGUCGCACAAGCUGGCCAAUCCUGCUAAUCCUUUAAAACUCACCUGGAGGGAAGGCCUCCUUCUGCAAAGCCUCUCUUGAUGCAGAUUAUCAGCUUUCACUCUCUACCAGAUGGCAAGGAUAUUGCUGUUGGCUCAUAGGAUGUGAACAGUGGUGUUGAGAUUACCCUCAUUUGGCUGAUGAUGUCAUUGAGGCCCAGAGAAGUUUUUGGCACAGAGCACUGUGUAGCUGGCACUUCUCUACUGGCCCGAAUGAGAAAACUUCCUCAGAGCAAAAUGUCAAGCACCAAAUAAGAUUCAUGUUUACUGUGAAGUGAUUGCUGCUUUUUAAAUGCUUAUCAGAAGCCGAAGGACAAACUCAGUAGGUUGAUUCAUGCUGAGCUCGACUACCUCCGUGAGAAAUGACUCUCCUGUAGGGCUCGAUGACCUUCAUGUCAAUGCGCUGCUCUUGUUCUCCA